rnacentral:rRNA from 1 species
CACGUAGGGUGCGAGCGUUGUCCGGAAUUAUUGGGCGUAAAGAGCUCGUAGGCGGUGUGUCGCGUCGGCCGUGAAAACCUGCAGCUUAACUGUGGGCGUGCGGUCGAUACGGGCAUCACUGGAGUUCGGCAGGGGAGACUGGAAUUCCUGGUGUAGCGGUGAAAUGCGCAGAUAUCAGGAGGAACACCGGUGGCGAAGGCGGGUCUCUGGGCCGAAAUUGACGCUGAGGAGCGAAAGCGUGGGGAGCAAACAGG